rnacentral:rRNA from 1 species
UACAGAGGGUGCGAGCGUUAAUCGGAAUUACUGGGCGUAAAGCGCACGUAGUCGGCUUUGCAAGUCGGGUGUGAAAUCCCCGGGCUCAACCUGGGAAGUGCGCUCGAAACUGCGCGGCUCGAGUGCCGGAGGGGAGAGUGGAAUUCCUGGUGUAGCGGUGAAAUGCGUAGAUAUCAGGAGGAAUACCGGUGGCGAAAGCGACUCUCUGGACGGCAACUGACGCUGAGGCACGAAAGCGUGGGGAGCAAACAGG